rnacentral:rRNA from 1 species
UGACUGCUAAUACCGGAUGAUGACUUCGGUCCAAAGAUUUAUCGCCCAGGGAUGAGCCCGCGUCGGAUUAGCUAGUUGGUGAGGUAAAAGCUCACCAAGGCGACGAUCCGUAGCUGGUCUGAGAGGAUGAUCAGCCACACUGGGACUGAGACACGGCCCAGACUCCUACGGGAGGCAGCAGUGGGGAAUAUUGGACAAUGGGCGAAAGCCUGAUCCAGCAAUGCCGCGUGAGUGAUGAAGGCCUUAGGGUUGUAAAGCUCUUUUACCCGGGAUGAUAAUGACAGUACCGGGAGAAUAAGCCCCGGCUAACUCCGUGCCAGCAGCCGCGGUAAUACGGAGGGGGCUAGCGUUGUUCGGAAUUACUGGGCGUAAAGCGCACGUAGGCGGCCUUGUAAGUUAGAGGUGAAAGCCCGGGGCUCAACUCCGGAAUUGCCUUUAAGACUGCAU